AUAUUCUCUUCAUCGCAAUCUCACAAGGAUGCCGCCAUGUCUCCUGAAUCUACACCUGCAGGGCUUUGGUAGUCCAUGAAACAAAGGGGAUAGUUGGGUAAGCUGAGCCAAAGGGGACCUGAGCCCUAGGACCAUGCCUCAGGACUACCUGUCCUGAUGACUCCUUGCUGUCCCCAGUCCACCUGGUCGUGCUGCUGCUCCAGUUUCAACUGUUCUGCCUGCGGCUAUGGAACGCUGACCUGUUCACCGGACAUGCUACCUGUCCCAGAACUGCUAUUUUCAACUCCCUAGAGACAGCAGGAGCGGUAUAGAUACUCUGAAUGAUCGGCUGUGAAAAGCCAACUGACAUUUACUCCUGUGGUGCUGACCUGUUGCACCCUCUACAACUACUGUGAUUAUUAGUAUUUGACCCUGCUCAUCGUCUAUGAACAUUUGAACAUCUUAGCACUGUUCUGUUAUAAUCUCCACCCGGCAGAAGAUUACCUGCCACCCCUCAUAGCCUGGUUCCUCUCUAGAUUUUUUCGUAGGUUCCGUCCUUUCUAGGGAGUUUUUCCUUGCCACCGUGCUUCUACACCUG
ensembl:lncRNA